rnacentral:rRNA from 1 species
AUUGAACGCUGGCGGCAGGCCUAACACAUGCAAGUCGAACGAGUGGCGGACGGGUGAGUAAUGUCUGGGAAACUGCCUGAUGGAGGGGGAUAACUACUGGAAACGGUAGCUAAUACCGCAUACCAUCGGAUGUGCCCAGGUGGGAUUAGCUAGUUGGUGGGGUAAAGGCUCACCUAGGCGACCAUCCCUAGCUGGUCUGAGAGGAUGACGAGCACGACUGGAAUGGGGACACGGUCCAGACUCCUACGGGAGGCAGCAGUGGGGAAUAUUGCACAAGGGGCGAAAGCCUGAGGCAGACAUGCCGCGUGUAUGAAGAAGGCUUUCGGUUUGUAAAGUACGUUAAGCGGGGAGGCGUUACCCGCAGAAGAAGCAACGGCUAACUCCGUGCCAGCAGCCGCGGUAAUAC